rnacentral:rRNA from 1 species
AACGAACGCUGGCGGCAUGCCUAACACAUGCAAGUCGAACGAGACCUUCGGGUCUAGUGGCGCACGGGUGCGUAACGCGUGGGAACCUGCCCUUAGGCUCGGAAUAACUCCCCGAAAGGGGUGCUAAUACCGGAUAAUGUCUUCGGACCAAAGAUUUAUCGCCUUUGGAUGGGCCCGCGUUGGAUUAGCUAGUUGGUAGGGUAAAAGCCUACCAAGGCGACGAUCCAUAGCUGGUCUGAGAGGAUGAUCAGCCACACUGGGACUGAGACACGGCCCAGACUCCUACGGGAGGCAGCAGUGGGGAAUAUUGGACAAUGGGCGAAAGCCUGAUCCAGCAAUGCCGCGUGAGUGAUGAAGGCCUUAGGGUUGUAAAGCUCUUUUACCCGGGAUGAUAAGGACAGUACCGGGAGAAUAAGCUCCGGCUAACUCCGU